rnacentral:rRNA from 1 species
UACGUAGGGGUGCAAGCGUUAAUCGGAAUUACUGGGCGUAAAGCGUGCGCAGGCGGUUCGUUGUGUCGGCGGUGAAAGCCCCGGGCUCAACCUGGGAAUGGCCGUUGAAACUGGCGAACUGGAGUGUGGCAGAGGGGGGUGGAAUUCCGCGUGUAGCAGUGAAAUGCGUAGAGAUGCGGAGGAACACCGAUGGCGAAGGCAGCCCCCUGGGCUAACACUGACGCUCAGGCACGAAAGCGUGGGGGAGCAAACAGG